rnacentral:rRNA from 1 species
UACGAAGGGGGCUAGCGUUGCUCGGAAUGACUGGGCGUAAAGGGCGCGUAGGCGGUUUGUACAGUCAGAUGUGAAAUUCCCGGGCUCAACCUGGGGGCUGCAUUUGAUACGUGCGGACUUGAGUGGGGAAGAGGGUCGUGGAAUUCCCAGUGUAGAGGUGAAAUUCGUAGAUAUUGGGAAGAACACCGGUGGCGAAGGCGGCGACCUGGUCCUUGACUGACGCUGAGGCGCGAAAGCGCGGGGAGCGAACGGG